rnacentral:lncRNA from 1 species
CAAAAUAUGAAAACAUGGCAAACGGUUUCAUUUCCCCCAAAAUUCUUGCUCUUUCUUGAGCUACCAAUCUGUCACCUCCUUCCAUCAAUAACAACCACCACUCGCCACCGAACCCACACACCACCGACACCUCUUCACCUCCCUCUACAACCUUUGACCAUUGCCUGCCCACCAGACCGUCGGAAACAACACCAACCGCAUCCAAAACCGUGAGUGCAGUCAUGAUUUUUUUCCCAAUUACUUCCACAUCCGGCCACCCUCUCGAUCAUGGAGCACCACCACAACAUUCCUGUCAACCAGGUGCAUAUAGUUCUACCAUGGGUCACCCUCAAUUUCGUCCAUACUCGAAUGAGCUUGUUGGAGCAUUCCUUGAGAUUUGUGAAAAUUUGUCUUUCAAUUUCACCUUUUCUUUUAUAGAUUGAUUUGGCAAGUAUCUUAUGUUGAAUUUAAAAAUUUCUUAACGAGUUUUGCUUUCGCAAUGGCAUCUCCCCAAAUGGCAGAGGACUUCAGGAAGAUGAUUUGGAUCAUUCUACAGAUGAAGCUCUUCUACGAUAGAAAUUGGUAAAGAUGUUUUACUAUGCCUCGUCUGCAUUUUUUUAUUGAAGUAAUAAUUGUUAAACUUGUCUAUAUCCUUAAAUAGAUGAUUUCCCCUUGAUUAAACACUAUCUGUGUUGUGUAAUUUAGAUUGAAAUACACUGAAGUUUCCUUUUCACAAUCUCUUGUCAGUUCUUAUAUCACUGAUUGCUACCUUAAACAUGUUGUGUAGGUAUAACAUAGGAAUAAAACUAGCUUACCAAAUUUUUGUGAACAUAUUGAUCUCUUUUAUUUUAGGAUAUGAGAUUUCUCUCUCCUAUUUUCAACCACACAAUCUUCAAUAAAAUAAUAUUACAUGUAAAUCGAAAUCUUUUCUUUCUUUUUUAACCACUCAUUUUUUCAAAAAAUAUUAUUUCACCCAUUUUCAUUUCUAGAAAAUGGGGGCCAAACGGGGGCUAAUGUUGGUAUUCAAAAUUCUCCAAGGCAAGAGGUAAGUAAUAAUAUUGCUGCCAUAUGCCCCUAUAAAUUCGAUUUGUACCAAAGCUGAAAAUAGUCCAAACUGUACAUCCAAGAGUCAAUGAAAUUUAAGAGUUAAAUAGAUCCGGUUCUGAUUUCCCUACCAGAAGGUUAAUAGGUUAUUCAUUUUUAAUUCUUUCCAAAAAAAUUUAUUUUUCCAUGCAGAUAUUGCAUCUUGAAAAAAGAUUACAAAACCAAUUUUCCAUUCACUGUGCUUUGGAAAAAGCAUUAGGUUGCAGGGUAUCCUGCCACGAUAUAACAUAUGAAAUUGCAAUGCCUAAGGUAGCAAUCUUUGGUCUUUAUAUGAUCAAAAUUUAAGAGUGGGUAAUAGAAAAAGACAUCUCUUUCAGAUUUCACCUGGUGCCUUAGCUGAGAUAGCAUCUAUUGAUAGUAUUGCUUGUUGCUAAUUAGCAAUCUAAAACAUUUGGUUGCAAAAUGCGAGUAGAUAGCUUGGUAAAGACUUCAGGAAGCACACGAGGAUCUAUUGCUGAUUCAGAAUGUGAGAUAGAGGGUGCUGUUGGAAAUUAAUUUGUUGUUCAAAAUCGAAGAAAAAAAGGGUAUCAAAACUAACCGUUAUGUUAGUUUUUUGACAUUUUUUAUUUGAGAUUGGUAGCUUUUCAUCCUUGUUUUGCACCAUUUUGUGAAAAACUUGUCAAUGCCUAUAAAUAGGUGAUUCAAGUGCAAGAAAGAUAUAUUGAGUUCCAUUAAAAUUUAUCCCCAAGUUAUACUUCCAAUAUUGAGAAAAUUAAUCACAUAAUCCUUCAUUUUUCACUUGUUCAUUGUGAAGAAACACCUUUGCUUUUUGGUGUUCUUCUUGUCAAGACUUGUUUAAUCCUACAAACUAUUUGUUGAAAUCCUUAAAAAGCAUUGGAAAUGAGGCAAAUAAUGUUUGAGGACAGCGAGAUUGAUUUCGUGUUCAAGCCUACAUUGAUAUACUUUUAUAAUUUUUCUUCUCCAUUGCCAUUAUUUUUUCAACAAUCUCAAACGUUAUUGUUACUAUUAUUGUAAUGGAGACAGAAUCUACACUUGCUACUAUCAAAAUGAUAAUUUAAGAUCUAGUACGCUUGGAUAGAUUCGAUGGUGCAAAUUUCACAAGAUGGCAAGACAAACUUAAAUUUUUAUUAACAGCUUUGAAGAUCUUCUACGUGCUUGAUCCAAAACUAGAGCCCAUUCCCAAUGCAACUGACAAGGAUAUUGAAGGAAUUCGCGUAGAAAGGAAGAAAUGAAAGAGGACAAAUUGAUAGGUCAUGACCAUAUCCUAAAUGCAUUAUCUGAUCGCCUCUAUGAUCUCUACACUAACACUACACCGACAAAAGAAAUCUGGUACGCGCUAGAAAGCAAAUACGAAGCCGAGGAGGAAGGUACCAAAAAGUUCUUAAUAUUUAAGUAUUUUGAUUUCAAAUUUUUGGAUAAUAUACCAUUAUUGCCUCAAGUGCAUGAGUUGCAAAUAAUUGUAAACAAACUGAAAGCGGUGAAAAUCGAACUUCCCGAAACAUUCUAAGUGAAUUCUAAGUGAGAGCAAUUAUUGCUAAACUUCUUGAUUCUUGGAAAAGGAUAAGGAAGAAGAUUAUUCACAAUUUCGAAGAUUUUUCUUUGAAAGAUAUACAAAAAUAUCUUUGUAUUGAGGAAGAAUCAAGCACAAGAGAUAAGAUUGAAAAUUUUUAUGAUGGCUCUUUAAAGGCCAAUGCCAUGGACAAUGUGAACAACUCCAACAAAUUUAAAAAGAAAGGAAAAUUUCUUGGUCCUAGAAAGGAUCAAGGAAAAUUAAAAAACAAAGCCAAAGGAUCUUGCUAUAUUUGUGGAAAAUCAGGACACUAUGCCAAGGAUUGUAGACAUAGGAAACAAUAAAAGAAAGAAGGACAAGUGAACUCCGUUGAUGAGAUUAUCGCCACGAUGAGCGAAAUCAAUGCAAUCUAAGGCAAAGUUCCGGGCUGGUGGUACGAUACAUGCGCUACAAUCCAUGUAUGUUAUGAUAAGUCUCUCUUCAAAACUUAUCAUGACAUUGAAGACAAUCAAGAAAUACAAAUGGAAAACGAAGGAAGAUCAAAAGUGAUUGGUAAAGGAAAUGUGAAACUCAUUUUCUCUUCGGGAAAGAAAAUCACUUUGACAAAUGUCUUGCAUGUACCGGAAAUGAAUAGAAACUUAGCAAGUGGUGUACUAUUGGGAAAACUUGGAAUUAAAUCUGUUUUUGAAUCUGGAAAGCUUGUAUUAACCCAUAAUGGGCACUUUGUUGGAAAGAGCUAUUCCACGAAGGAAUGGUCAAACUAUAUACUAUUAAGGAUAACUCAAUAAAGUUAAAUCUUUUGCGUAUGUUACUGAUUUAUUUAAUUUAUGGCAUUAUAGAUUAGCACAUAUAAGAGUUAAUACUAUGAAAAGAAUGAUUAAAUGUGGAUUAAUACAAUGUGAUAUUGACAACUUCGAAAAAUGUGAAACAUGUGUUAAAUCAAAAAUAAUUAAAAAGCCAUUUCAUAGCGUAGUAAGAACAACAAGAUUACUUGAUCUUGUUCAUUUCGACAUAUGUGAAUUGAAUGGAAUGUUAACUAGACGCAGUAAUAGGUAUUUUAUUAUUUUUAUUGAUGAUUUUUCUAGAUAUACCUGUGUACUUAUUAAAACAUAAGGAUGAAACCUUUAGUGCCUUUAAGACUUAUAAGAUUGAAGUUGAAAAUUAAUUAGGAAGGAAAUUAAAGAUUUUAAGAAGUGAUAGAGGCGAGGAAUAUUUUUCUUAUGAAUUUAACAUGUUUUGUGAACAAAAUGGAAUAAUACAUCAAACUUUUACAUCUAGAACACAGGAACAAAAUGGAUUAGUAGAAAGAAAGAAUAAAACUCUUUUAGAAAUGAUAAAUGCAAUGUUGUUAAAUUCUAAAUUACCCCUUAACCUUUGGGGUGAAGCCUUACUUAGUAUUUGCCAUAAAACAAAUAGGAUUCCUAUAAAAAGGAAUAAAAUUUCUCCAUAUGAAAUUUGAAAAAAUAGAAAACCAAAUAUCAGUUAUUUUAAAGUGUGGGGGCUACAUUGCCUAUUGUAAGAAUAUGGAUCCUAAGAGAAUCAAGUUAGGUCCUAGAGAUAUCAAAUGUACUUUUGUAGGAUAUGCUCUCAAAAGCAAAGCCUGUAAAUUAUUAAAUCUAGAAACGGAUGUCAUAAUAGAAUCAAAAGAUGUGAAAUUCUUCGAGGAUAUAAUGGUGGCUAGGAAAUAUGAAAAUAAUAAUAAUGAUAUUUUAAUCUUUAGAGGUCACCGGUAGAGACAUCUAUAAAAGAUGUUGAAAUUGAACCUCGAAGAAGUAAAAGAGUUAGAAAAGAAAAGAAUUUAGGAUCAGAUGAAAUAGAUCCCCAACUUAUUUCUUUUUACUUAGUAGAAGAAGAGGUGAAGGAUGUUGUAAGAACAAUUCUCUUUGUUCUUCAAGUGGAAAGUGAUCCUAAAACUUAUAAGGAAGCGGUACAGUCUAAAGAUUGUAUGUUCUGGAAAGAAUCCAUAAACAACGAAAUGAAUUCUAUUAUUUCAAAUAACAUUUGGGAAAUAGUUGACUUGUCAGCAUAAUCUAAGGCUAUUGGUUGUAAAAGGGUGUUUAGGAAGAAAUACAAUUCCGAUGAAUCUCUUAAUACCUACAAGGCUAGAUUAGUGGCUAAACGGUAUCGUCAAAGAGAAGGAAUUGAUUACUUUAACACAUAUGCAACCGUAGUUAAGAUAACCUCGAUUAGGAUCUUAUUUGUGUUAGCAUCCAUUUAUAAUCUACAUGUUCAUCAAAUGGACAUCAAGACGACGUUCCUAAAUGGAGAUCUCGAAGAAGAGGUUUAUAUGGAACAACCAGAAGGGUUCGUUCUACCAAGAAAUGAACAUAAAGUGUGCAAAUUAAUUAAAUCUUUAUAUGCACUAAAGCAAGCUCCCGAAAAGUGGCAUGAGAAAUUUGACUCUAAAAUAAUGUCAAAUGAAUUUAAUCACAAUUCGAUAGAUAAAUGCCUCUACACAAAAGUGAAUGAUAAUAUAUUCACGUUAGUAUGUCUAUAUGUUGAUGAUAUGCUAAUCAUUAGCAAUAAUAUAGACAGGAUCAAAGAAACAAAAUUGUUUCUAUCCUCUACUUUCAAAAUGAAGGAUCUUGGAGAAGUUGAUAUUAUCCUUGGUAUCAAAGUUAAAAAUGAUAGUGGGGGUUUUAUAUUAAGCCAAUCACAAUAUGUUGAGAGUGUGAUAGACAAGUUCAAACAUUUGAAUAUUAAGAAGGCUAACACUCCUAUAGAUCCAAAUAUUAAAUUGAUAAAAAAUGAAGAUAGAGCAAUUGCACAAAUAGAAUACACAAGUGUAAUUGGAAGUCUUAUGUACGCAUCACAAUGUACAAGACCUGAUGUAGCAUUUGCUGUAAGUAAAUUAAGUAGGUUUACUAGCAAUCCAAGUUCAGAACAUUGGAAGGCCAUCGGUAGGGUUCUUGGUUACCUAAAGAAAACCAAAAAUCUUGGGCUAUAAUAUACGAAAUUUCCUAAAAUCUUGGAAUGAUAUAUUGACGCAAGUUGGAUAUCGAGUGCAGAAGAGAAUAAAUCUACUUCAAGUUGGAUAUUCACUCUUGGAAGAGAUGCGGUUUCUUGAAAGUCUAAAAAACAAACUUGUAUUACUCAUUCAACUAUGGAAUUGGAGUUUGUAGCAUUAGCCGAAACCGGGAAAGAAGCUGAGUGGCUAAAAGAUUUAUUAUAUGAAAUACCUUUAGAUAUAAAUGAUAUUUCUUCUGUACCUAUCUUGUGCGAUAGUCAAGCCACUCUAGCUCGAGCAUAUAACAAAGUAUACAAUGGAAAGUCUAGACUCAUGAGUCUAAGACACGAGUAUGUAAGAAAAUUAAUCAAGCAUGGGGUAAAUUCUCUUAUAUUUAUUAAGUCUAGUGAAAACUUAGCCGAUCCAUUUACAAAAUCUCUCAUAAAAGAGUUAGUGAGAUCAACAUCAAGUAAAAUGGGAUUAAAACUCCUCAAAUAGAUCCACCAAUAACUGCAACCUCACCAAAAUAUAAUAAACUAGUAUAUAUAUAGGUUCAAGAGGUAACAACAAGUUAUUUGAUAAGUGGAUGAAUUCAACACUAUUUAAUAUAUCUAAUACUAUCUUUGGAAAAUAGUGUUCGUUGUUACUGUUGGAGGGAUGAGUUAAAAUAAAUUCUUAUUGAAGUUCAUUAAGGAGUACAAAUAUCUGUAAAAGUAACAAAGAUACUGGAAGAACUUCACCUAUGUGAACUUUGAGGUGGUGCCGCCUCAUUAGAGAGUUGAAGUUUUCUCUCUUUAAAAGUUCAAUGAAAUAGGAUUAGUGCAAGACCAUAUUAGCACUAAGCGAGUUAGAGGAAUUAGUGAAAAGCUUAAUACUUGUGUGUGUGAUUUCGUCGAUAUUGUUACAAAGAAUAACUGGUUCAAGGCACACUAACCACCUGGAAUUCUGAUAAUACUUUAUGAGAUUUACACUAUGAAUAGAUUCAAAUCAAUAGAUAUCUAAUUCUUAUGCAUAAGUGUUGAUAUUUGAUUAUGUGAUUAAAGCUGAUUUUGAAUAAGUGGGGGAUUGUUAGAAAUUUAUUUGUUGUUCAAAAUCGAAGAAAAAAAGAGGGCUUAACCAUGCGACCACAUAGAUUAAACUCAUGCGAUCGCAUGAGGCCCUCCAAGAAUGGGAGGGCUGGCAAAGCUAUAACCAUGUGACCACAUGGCUAUGGCUAUAGCCCAUGCAGUCACAUGGUUAUCAAAAAUAACCGUUAUGUUAGUUUUUUGACUGUUUUUUAUUUGAAAUUGGUGGCUUUUCAUCCUUGUUUUGCACCAUUUCGUGAAAAACUUGCCAAAACCUAUAAAUAGGUGAUCCAAGUGCAAAAAAGAUAUAUUGAGUUUCAUUAAAAUUUAUCCCCAAGUUAUACUUUGAAUAUUGAGAAAAUUAAUCACAUAAUAUUUCAUUUUUUACUUGUUCAUUGUGAAGAAACACAUUUGCUUUUUGGUGUUCUUCUUGUCAAUGCUUGUUUAAUUCUACAAACUAUUUGUCGAAAAUCCUUAAAAAGCAUUGGAAAUGAGGCAAAUAACGUUUGAGAACAAUGAGAUUGAUUGUGUUCAAGCCUACAUUGAUAUACUUUUAUAAUUUUUCUUCUCCAUUGCCAUUAUUUUUUCAACAGGUGCAGAUGAAGGUUGUGAUUCAAACUUUUAACAUAUUUGCUUUCUGCUUUUGUUAUAGCUCUUCUCUUUGUUUGUUAUGGUUUUGCGUUUGCAAACUUAGUGUGAGUUUAUGUUCUUAGUGGCUCAAUUUAUUUUUCUAGAAUGUAUAAGGCCAUGUAUAUGUUUCCAAAAUCCUAUAAUUGCGGUUUGAGUUUCUCGUAUAUGUGAAAAUAGUGCAACUGUCAUUUAAACAAGGUUAACCUAUGAAACUCGUGUUUUACAUAGACAGAGUUUUAUCCAAAUCUAUUUUGUGGCUAGUAAAAUAGCUGCUUGGAUUGUGUCAAACCUCUAAUUAUGUUAUUUUUUCCUUCUUGGAACCUUAUUGGACUUCUUUGGAUUGGUUGGGGAUUGACAUUUUGUUUGACUUUCUUAACUCCCUUGAGAAAUGGGUAGGAAUGUUACAAAACUAAGAUCAUGGAUCUGUUAUAGUCCAAUCCGGUGAGAUGUUUCAAGGUCUGUUGGUUGAAAAUGACAAGAUAUUUUAGGUGAGUUGAAAAGUGACGUAUUAGGUGGGUUUCCAAUCCCAUUCCUUUGAAGUAUGACAUCAAGUGUUAGGUUGUGCCCUAUUAACCUUUUCUGGGAAUUACACAGGUGGUUAGAUUGGGAUCAUAUAAAGGUCCAAUGCAACUCUAUAGAGGGAACAUAUAGAAUUUCUUGUUAUACUUCUUGCUCCUGAGCUGCGAAUUUGCAUGGGAUUGCUGAUGGGGCUACCACCACGGCUAUGAUCAAGUCAAGGCUGAGACAUGCUAAACUUUGCAUGGUAGAAUUGAACUCCACUUCCAUUGGUAAAUGAGUUUGCUCGAGAGCUGCUGAAUUACAAAUAAUUUUGGGGCUACCACCACGGCUAUGAUCAAGUCAAGGCUGAGACAUGCUAAACUUUGCAUGGAAGAAUUGAACUCCACUUCCAUUGGUAAAUGAGUCUGCUCGAGCGCUGCUGAAUUACAAAUAAUUUGUAUAGGUUUUUAAUAUGGAUAUUCUUGAUUGCAAAAGGAGAUAAGGAAGAAAUAAAGAAAUGAAUAUUACAUUUUAAUGGAGAUAUUCGAG